rnacentral:rRNA from 1 species
AGAGUUUGAUCAUGGCUCAGAACGAACGCUGGCGGCAGGCUUAACACAUGCAAGUCGAACGAUGUAGCAAUACAUAGUGGCGCACGGGUGAGUAACGCGUGGGAAUAUACCUUAUAGUGGGGAAUAACUUUGGGAAACUAAAGCUAAUACCGCAUACGCCCGAGAGGGGAAAGAUUUAUCGCUAUAAGAUUAGCCCGCGUGAGAUUAGGUAGUUGGUGGGGUAAUGGCCUACCAAGCCUACGAUCUCUAGCUGGUCUGAGAGGAUGAUCAGCCACACUGGAACUGAGACACGGUCCAGACUCCUACGGGAGGCAGCAGUGGGGAAUAUUGGGCAAUGGAGGAAACUCUGACCCAGCCAUGCCGCGUGAAUGAUGAAGGCCUUAGGGUUGUAAAGUUCUUUCGCCGAUGAAGAUAAUGACGGUAGUCGGAGAAGAAGCCCCGGCUAACUUCGUGCCAGCAGCCGCGGUAAUACGAAGGGGGCUAGCGUUGUUCGGAAUUACUGGGCGUAAAGCGAGCGUAGGUUGCUCGAUAAGUCAGUGGAGAAAGCCCAGAGCUCAACUCUGGAACUGCCAUUGAAACUGUCGAGCUGGAAUCUCAGAGGGGGUAGCGGAAUUCCAAAUGUAGGGGUGAAAUCCGUAGAUAUUUGGAGGAACACCGGUGGCGAAGGCGGCUACCUGGAUGAGUAUUGACACUGAGGCUCGAAAGCGUGGGGAUCAAACAGGAUUAGAUACCCUGGUAGUCC